GGGGGGGGGGGGGGGGGGGGGGAGGGGAUGGGGGGCGAGCGAGGGGACGAGGAGGUUGGUGCUCUGGCGUUAGGGUGUGAGGGGUGAGUAACAGGUGGAUAACCUACCUAUAAGACUGGGAUAAGUUCGGGAAACCGGAGGUAAGACCGGACACUGUAUUGAACCGCACGUGUCAAUAGUGACUGACGUUUUUGCUUUCACUUAUAGAUGGAUCCGCGCCGCAGUAGCUAGUUGGUAAGGUAACGGCUUACUAAGGCAACGAUGCGUAGCCGACCUGAGAGGGUUAUCGGCCACACUGGAACUGAACCAAGGUCCAGACUCCUACGGGAGGCAGCAGAAGGGAAUCUUCCGCAAUGGGCGAAAGCUUGACGGAGCAACGCCGCGUGAGUGAUGAAGGUCUUCGGAUCGUAAAACUCUGUUAUUAGGGAAGACCAAAUGUGUAAGUAACUAUGCACGUCUUGACGGUACCUAAUCAGAAAGCCCCGGCUAACUACGUG
rnacentral:rRNA from 1 species